rnacentral:lncRNA from 1 species
GGGGAGGGGCUGCUGAGGAAGGCCACAGGGGCUAAGGAGGAUUUCCUCAGAGCUUUUGGGAAGCUAUACGUUCCUGGCCCCGAGGUAAAGCUCCCACAGGCUGCUUGACCCAACAGAGCAGCUCCUACCCACUGGGAUUCUCGGUCUGCAGGAAUCUGGCAUCCACCUGGGGAGCAUCUGGCUGAGGCAGCCUGGAGACAGGCACGCACCAGAAGACUUCUGGUUCCAUCCAGGCCCAAGGACCACUGAACUGGAGCGGUCUUCUCCAUCCCCCAGCAAGCCUGUGCGUGAGCUGGGGACAAGGGGCAGAGGAGGCAGAGGUCCCCCUCACACCAGGAAGGGAACAGCGCCACUAAAGGGCCUGGUGGAGGCAGGGUGGAGGUGGAAGGAGACUCAGCAGAAGGGAUGAGGAAACUGAGGCUGAGAGGGUAGAGAACUUUGCCUGAGGUCACUCAGCAGGGACCCACCCAUCACAGUAAAUGCCAGCACUGCUGAUGCCAAAACAAUGUUAUUUGUAGGCCCUCGGAAUUUGUGACCUGAAGGAAGAAGAGCAGGGCCGUGGGAAGUAUGUAACCAGUGUCAUGCCCCUGGUCCCAAGGAAGCAGUGGCUUGUGAGCCCGGUGCCCCCCCGGGCCUCCUCAGUGAGCUGAGGAGGCUCAGCAGUGCCUGCACGUCCCCUCGCCACAAUGUCAUGUGCCACCUCUUCAAAGGAGGGAUGUACCAGCUAGUGGACGUGACCUUGACUGCAAAGGGCGGCACGCAGCUGAUGUAAUGGUCGCUUAAGUGUUCACAAAUGCCUGAACACCCUGUCCUACCUGGUCCUACCUGGAUGCUGGCCUCAGUAAGCUCCUGGGCUCAUUGAAGAUGAACCUAGCAGUAGUAUUUACACCACUUGUUGUGUGCCCACUGUGGGCCCGGCGCCAUGCCGAGUGCUCUAUGGAUGUGAGAUGAGAACACUGAAGCAGUUUUUUCUAAAGAUAGCUGCCUGGCACAGUGGCUCACAUCUGUAGUCCCAGCAUUUGGGGAGGCCAAGGCAGGUGGAUCACUUGAGGCCAGGAAUUCAAGACCAGCAUGGCCAACAUGUGCUGGGAGAGAAAAGCAUACGACAUAGACAGGGAGGUCAAGCUCCACCACGCAGAUGAGGUGCAGGCCACCAGUCUUCCUCUGCCACAUCUCUUUCUGAAAAGGACUUCACAUUCACCCUUGCAAUCCAUGUGGGGACACUGUUGGAUAGGAGGCGUGGUCCCAGCGUGGUCUCCCUGUCUGGGCCUCUGCCUAUGCCAAAUGUUUGCCUUACGCUGCACACUCAAGAGGUUCCAUGUAUACAGAUGGGAAUUCCAGAGCUACAGAAAAGGCAGCAAGCACCAUGAUUUAAGCUAACCAGUGUGGAUUCACACCUUCCUCUCUCUCUAUCAGUGGCAGAACUACCAGCUAGAGUAAGAAGUGGUUGAUCCAGGACCUAAACAUUCUGGAAACUCUUGCCCACUUCUGGGAGAAAUGACCCAAUCCAUAGUACUAAGCACACCUUAACUUUCGUAGGACGCAGGCAAGUUGUCAUACCGUGUGCCUAAAUAUAGAAAAAUGAUCCACUGGACUAAUAAAGUGUUAAAUAAAA